AGCGGUAUCCUCGUCGUUCAAGAACUGAUAAUUAAAAGUUUUUCGAGUGCGAUAAUCCAACUUGCUGCAGUUUUUCUCACUAAUGGUUGUUGCAUGGACAACUGCCUUGUCAUAUAAAAGACAAAAAACCCACAAUCAACCAAAUCUGGUUUUUGUUGAGGCGAUGUCGAAACGUAAUAUUGCUUUGUGCUACCGUACAAAUAGAUUUGGCUUGAUUCAUCGUUGCUUCCUCAUUUUGAAGUGGCAAAUGAUUCAUCUACUUUCCUUUUCCCCUUCGUC
rnacentral:lncRNA from 1 species